GCGAGGGUGAAGAAGAAAAUCAUUCGGAUUCCCAUUGAUUUGUAAAAAAACAUGAAAAAAUCGGUUGCCGGUUUCCUCUUGU
rfam:Hordeum vulgare subsp. vulgare, WGS project CAJW01000000 data, contig: morex_contig_181579